rnacentral:rRNA from 1 species
GACGAACGCUGGCGGCGUGCUUAACACAUGCAAGUCGAGCGGGAUCAACCGGUGGCAACACCGGGGAAGAUCUAGCGGCGAACGGGUGAGUAACACGUGAGCAACCUGCCCCGAAGACUGGGAUAACACCGGGAAACCGGUGCUAAUACCGGAUGUCGUCAUUAGGCCGCAUGACCUGAUGAUGAAAGGAUUCAUCGCUUCGGGAGGGGCUCGCGGGCUAUCAGCUUGNGGUGGGGUAACGGCCUACCAAGGCGACGACGGCUAGCUGGUCUGAGAGGACGACCAGCCACACUGGGACUGAGACACGGCCCAGACUCCUACGGGAGGCAGCAGUGGGGAAUCUUGCGCAAUGGGACGAAAACCUGACGCAGCAACGCCGCGUGGGGA